AUUGAACGCUGGCGGCAUGCCUUACACAUGCAAGUCGAACGGCAUCGCGGGAAAGCUUGCUUUCCUGGCGGCGAGUGGCGAACGGGUGAGUAACACAUCGGAACGUACCGGCUAGUGGGGGAUAACCCGUCGAAAGACGGGCUAAUACCGCAUACGCUCUUCGGAGGAAAGCAGGGGACCUUUGGGCCUUGCGCUAGUCGAGCGGCCGAUGUCCGAUUAGCUAGUUGGUGGGGUAAAGGCCUACCAAGGCGACGAUCGGUAGCGGGUCUGAGAGGACGAUCCGCCACACUGGGACUGAGACACGGCCCAGACUCCUACGGGAGGCAGCAGUGGGGAAUCUUGGACAAUGGGGGCAACCCUGAUCCAGCAAUGCCGCGUGGGUGAAGAAGGCCUUCGGGUUGUAAAGCCCUUUCGGCAGGGAAGAAAUCGGCGGGGCGAAUAACCCUGCUGGAUGACGGUACCUGCAGAAGAAGAACCGGCUAACUACGUG
rnacentral:rRNA from 1 species